rnacentral:rRNA from 1 species
CGGGCGCGGCGACGGUCUAAGUCCCUUGGAACGGGGCGUCAUAGAGGGUGAGAAUCCCGUAUGAGAUCGGCGACCAAGCCCAUGUGAAACUCCUUCGACGAGUCGAGUUGUUUGGGAAUGCAGCUCAAAAUGGGUGGUAAAUUUCAUCUAAAGCUAAAUACCGGCCAGAGACCGAUAGCGCACAAGUAGAGUGAUCGAAAGAUGAAAAGCACUUUGGAAAGAGAGUCAAAAAGUACGUGAAAUUGUUGAAAGGGAAGCGCUUGCAACCAGACCUGCCCGUGGGUGAUCCCCCGUUUUCUCGAAAGCGGUGCACUCGCCGCGAUCAGGCCAGCAUCGGUUCGGGCGGCCGGAUAAAGGCCGCGGGAAUGUAGCUCCUCUCGGGGAGUGUUAUAGCCCGUGGUGCAAUGCGGCCCGCCUGGACCGAGGACCGCGCUUCGGCUAGGAUGCUGGCGUAAUGGUUGUAAGCGGCCCGUCUUGAAACACGGACCAAGGAGUCUAACAUCUAUGCGAGUGUUUGGGUGUCAAACCCAUACGCGUAAUGAAAGUGAACGGAGGUGGGAACCCAGGGCGCACCAUCGACCGAUCCAGAUGUCUUCGGAUGGAUUUGAGUACGAGCAUAGCUGUUGGGACCCGAAAGAUGGUGAACUAUGCCAGAAUAGGGUGAAGCCAGAGGAAACUCUGGUGGAGGCUCGCAGCGGUUCUGACGUGCAAAUCGAUCGUCAAAUUUUGGCAUAGGGGCGAAAGUGAGUUUUGCGGUGG